GGGAGGCAGCAGUAGGGAAUCUUCCGCAAUGGACGAAAGUCUGACGGAGCAACGCCGCGUGAGUGAUGAAGGUUUUCGGAUCGUAAAGCUCUGUUGUUAGGGAAGAACAAGUGCCGUUCAAAUAGGGCGGCACCUUGACGGUACCUAACCAGAAAGCCACGGCUAACUACGUGCCAGCAGCCGCGGUAAUACGUAGGUGGCAAGCGUUGUCCGGAAUUAUUGGGCGUAAAGGGCUCGCAGGCGGUUUCUUAAGUCUGAUGUGAAAGCCCCCGGCUCAACCGGGGAGGGUCAUUGGAAACUGGGGAACUUGAGUGCAGAAGAGGAGAGUGGAAUUCCACGUGUAGCGGUGAAAUGCGUAGAGAUGUGGAGGAACACCAGUGGCGAAGGCGACUCUCUGGUCUGUAACUGACGCUGAGGAGCGAAAGCGUGGGGAGCGAACAGGAUUAGAUACCCUGGUAGUCCACGCCGUAAACGAUGAGUGCUAAGUGUUAGGGGGUUUCCGCCCCUUAGUGCUGCAGCUAACGCAUUAAGCACUCCGCCUGGGGAG
rnacentral:rRNA from 1 species